rnacentral:tRNA from 1 species
ACCUGGUUGGCUCAGUUGGUAGAGCACGUGACCUUGAUUUCAGUUUCGUGAGUUUGACCCCCACAUUGGGUG